CGCAAAGCGGUAGUUUUAGACGAGCGACUAAAGCGACUGCCUAGUGUGUUUCAGCCUUAAUGUUCCAGUUAAAAC